GCCUGACUGGAUUUCUGCCACUAUAAGCAGCUUGAAAUUUGAACAUUGUAGUAAAUUAGGUCAUAGAGUCAUACAGCACUGUGGAAACAGGCACUUCGGCCCACCUUGCCCACACUGACCGACAUGUCCCAUCUAAACUAGUCUCACCUGCCUGCCUUUGGCCCAUAUCCCUAUUCAUGCACCUGUCUAAAUGUUUCUUAAAUGUUACGAUUUUGGAUUGGUCUUCACUGUAGAAGAAACUAAAUACAUUCCAAUAAUAAUGGAUACGAGGUUACGUGAGGGGUGGAGGAAGGAAAGAAGUCAAAAUAUUCUCCACCACAAGAAAAAAAACACAAGGCAAACUAACGGGGUUAAAGCCAAAGAGAUCUGAUGAAAAUUAUAAAAAAUUGUAGGUGCUGGAAGUAUGAAAUAGGAACAGAAAAUGCUGGAAAAACCCAGUCGGUUAGAAAGCAGCGGUGGAAAGAGAAACGGUUAGCUGAAACACUAACUAUUCUUCUUUCCACAGAUGCUGCCGCACCUGCUUCCUUUCUGCUUUUAUCUCCAAGACCUGUUAUUGGACUUCGGAUUUCGGAAAAGUCCCAGCUGAGAGGAAGACAGCAAAAUACCGAAAAUAUUGGGGGUGAAAAUGACUUCAGGCCAGUUUGUUACGAAAAUGAAAGAAAAUUGUAACAGAAUACUUAUACAGCUGAG